AUUGGAACGCUACAAAAUAUAUUUGCACAAUCUUUCAUUCUUUUAUAGGAAUGCUACCAAUAUGAAAAAGAACAGAUAUGGGACAAUGUCACAAAGGCAUCACCAACUCACUAAAUGUAACACAAAAAAAUAUAAAUCCUGAGCUGACAACACAGGAAAUAUACUUGCACAAUACCUCCUUCCUUAAUAUUGGAAAUCGGCAAAAUAUACCAACUGUCAUCCGGUCAGAAAAAAUCUGGUUCAGUUUAUUGUCGUCAAUUGUCAGGCUGUCUGUUUUCCAUAUUGUCGCCACUUGUCCAUCUGUAUUGAGUAUAUUCUGUUACUAAGUUAAUUUCUUAUUCAAUUUAUUGGUGUCCAUUGUCUGUCUGUCAUCCG
rnacentral:lncRNA from 1 species